GGCUCGGUAGCAUAGUUAGUAAAGCACUUGUCUAGCGAAUAAGGGUCGUGAGUUCAGAUUUCACCCGAGCUG
rfam:Aedes albopictus isolate Foshan contig6613, whole genome shotgun sequence.